UCAAGUUCUGCUAGAUUGUGCCGAUUUGUAUACCGAACUCUCCCAUAGGGUAGGAGGGAGGGAGGGAGGGAGGGAGGGCGGGAGGAAGGCAGCUGUGAGCCUGAGCAAGGGUAAAGCUUAGAUGGGCAGUUGGUUUCACUCCAAAA